rnacentral:rRNA from 1 species
GUGAGGAAUAUUGGUCAAUGGACGAGAGUCUGAACCAGCCAAGUAGCGUGAAGGAUGACUGCCCUAUGGGUUGUAAACUUCUUUUAUAAGGGAAUAAAGUGAGGGACGUGUCCCUUUUUGUAUGUACCUUAUGAAUAAGGAUCGGCUAACUCCGUGCCAGCAGCCGCGGUAAUACGGAGGAUCCGAGCGUUAUUCGGAUUUAUUGGGUUUAAAGGGAGCGUAGGUUGACAUAUAAGUCAGCUGUGAAAGUUUACGGCUCAACCGUGAAAUUGCAGUUGAUACUGUAUGUCUUGAGUGUACAAGAGGUGGGCGGAAUUCGUGGUGUAGCGGUGAAGUGCUUAGAUAUCACGAAGAACUCCAAUUGCGAAGGCAGCUCACUGGGGUACAACUGACACUGAGGCUCGAAAGUGUGGGUAUCAAACAGGAUUAGAUACCCUUGUAGUCC